UCGAGAAUUUUUCACAAUGGGCGAAAGCCUGAUGGAGCGACGCCGCGUGGGGGAUGAAGGGCUUCGGCUCGUAAACCCCUGUCAUUCGAGAACAAACCCUGCGGUUUAACAGAUCGCGGGCUGAUAGUAUCGGAAGAGGAAGGGACGGCUAACUCUGUGCCAGCAGCCGCGGUAAUACAGAGGUCCCAAGCGUUGUUCGGAUUUACUGGGCGUAAAGGGUGCGUAGGCGGCGAGGAAAGUUUGAGGUGAAAUCUCCAGGCUCAACUUGGAAAAUGCCUUGAAGACUUCCUUGCUCGAGGGUCGUAGAGGAGACUGGAAUUCUCGGUGUAGCAGUGAAAUGCGUAGAUAUCGAGAGGAACACCAGUGGCGAAAGCGGGUCUCUGGACGACACCUGACGCUGAGGCACGAAAGCCAGGGGAGCAAACG
rnacentral:rRNA from 1 species